rnacentral:rRNA from 1 species
UCAAGCGAACAAGGGCGCAGGGCGAAUGCCUUGGCACUGGGAGCCGAUGAAAGACGUGAUAAGCUGCGAUAAGCUUCGGGGAGCUGCAAAUAAGCAUUGAUCCGGAGAUCUCUGAAUGAGGAAACUCACCUGGGUUCAUACUCAGGUACGUUAUACUGAACUUAAAAAUAGGUAUAUCGAGGGAACCGCCUGAACUGAAACAUCUAAGUAGGGCGAGGAAGAGACAUCAAACGAGAUUCCGUAAGUAGUGGCGAGCGAACGCGGAAGAGGGCAAACCGAGAGUAGAAAUACUUUCGGGGUACGGACUGCUUUUAAGACUUAAUCUGUUAACCGAACGGCAUGGGAAGGCCGGUCAGAGAGUGUGAGAACCACGUAGGUGAAAACGGAGAGAGCUGCGCAGGAUCCAGAGUACGGCCAGACACGUGAAACCUGGUCGGAAUACGGGGGGACCACCCUCCAACCCUAAAUACUACCCAGUGACCGAUAGCGUAUAGUACUGUGAAGGAAAGGUGAAAAGCACCCCGGGAGGGGAGUGAAAAAGAACCUGAAACCCUGUGCCUACAAGCACCUAGAGCACGUCAAUGUGUGAUAGGGUACUUUUUGUAGAACGGUCCGGCGAGCGAUUGUAUGCAGCAAGGUUAAGGACUUAAGGUCUGGAGCCGAAGCGAAAGCGAGUUUGAAAAGGGCGUUAAGUUGCAUAUAAUGGGCCCGAAACCGGGUGACCUACCCAUGGUCAGGUUGAAGUGGAAGUAAAAUUCCAUGGAGGACCGAACCGACCUCCGUUGAAAAGGCGGCGGAUGAACUGUGGGUAGCGGAGAAAUUCCAAUCGAACCCGGAGAUAGCUGGUUCUCCCCGAAAUAGUUUUAGGACUAGCCUCAAGUUAGAUACCUGGAGGUAAAGCACUGAAUAGCCUAGCGGCCGAGAGGUUAGCGAAGCUUAUCAAACUCAGAAUGCCAGAGUAUUGAUGCUUGGGAGUCAGACAGUGUCAGAUAAAUGUCAUUGUCAAAAGGGAAACAGCCCAGAUCUACAGCUAAGGUCCCAAAGUCAGGUUAAGUGGAAAACGAUGUGAAGAUACGCAGACAACCAGGAUGUUGGCUCAGAAGCAGCCACUCAUUCAAAGAGUGCGUAAUAGCUCACUGGUCGAGCGUCUUUGCGCGGAGAAUUUAACGGGGCUAAACCUGACACCGAAGCUUAGGCAAUACAGCAAUGUAUUGGGUAGGGGAGCGUUGUAUACGCGGAGAAACAGUAGCGCAAGCGGCUGUGGAGUGUAUAGAAGUGAGAAUGCCGGAAUGAGUAGCGCGAAUGCAGUGAGAAUCUGCAUGGCCGAAAGCCUCAGGUUUCUGGAGGAAGGUUCGUCCGCUCCAGGUUAGUCGGGAGCUAAGGUGAGGCCGGAAGGCGUAGCCGAUGCACAGACGGUAGAGAUUCCGUCACCACCAAAAGAGUUAAGCACAGGGACACAUAUGAAGUCUCAGAGCCGGGUGUUGGUUCCGGUAGAGAUCGAGGGAAAUUAGUACCGAAGUCUGAGAUGGAAGAUGGCGAGAAAAGCUGUGUGUAUUUCUGAGGUGCCCGUACCGCAAACCGACACAGGUAGGUAGGAAGAAGAUUCUAAGGCCAACGGGAGAAGGGUUGUUAAGGAACUCGGCAAAUUGACCCCGUAACUUCGGGAGAAGGGGUGCUCCAGAGAUGGAGCCGCAGAGAAUCGGCCCAAGCAACUGUUUACCAAAAACACAGGUUUGUGCUAAAUCGAAAGAUGACGUAUACGAGCUGACGCCUGCCCGGUGCUGGAAGGUUAAGAGGAGAUGUGCAAGCAUUGAAUCGAAGCCCCAGUGAACGGCGGCCGUAACUAUAACGGUCCUAAGGUAGCGAAAUUCCUUGUCAGGUA